CUUUCCCGAAAUAAGCAAAGAGAAAAUAACAAACUUAUUUGCAAUUCUUACACUGGUGUAGAGAUUUUAAGUGGGCUGCCUCAAUGCAGUCAAAGAAUUACAAGUUUAUUAUUUUUUGUUUGCAUAUUUGGGGAAAGGGAAAUAGGAAGAGAAAGGCAUAAGAAUGAGUGAGUGACACAGUUGCCAGGUUAAAGCUGUACAGACUGCAGGUAGCAGAAAUAGAGAGAAAACUGAGCAUCAGCUGAAAAUGAAAGAACCGGGCCUAAAGGAGAGGAAAAAGGCUGUCAGAGAGGAGACAGCACAUCAAGUGACUAGAGCUGAAAACCAAGGAGGCUGAGGAAGGAGAGAGAUUGAAAACACCAACUGGACUUACUAGAAAAGCAAUACCAGAACCAUCUCACCCCACUGAUUCCUGUCUCUCCAAAAAUCCACAGCCAGGAGCAGUUAUGUCCUGCAUGUAAGGAGACGGGUGAUAUCAGAAUAUUUUACUACAUUUGAGAGGCUGUGUGCAGCUCAUGUGGUUCCUGAGGACAAGAAAGUCCCCAGCCUAAUUGCAAAGUUAGCUGGUAAAGCUCUUAAUAUACUCCAAUGAAAUGCCAAUUCAGGAUGCUUUAGGUUACUGUAAAUUCAAAAAAAACAAACUAAAAAAACCCUGUUUGAAAUGAUUUUAGAUUACCCCUGAAACACAGAGGGUGACAUUUAGAAAUUUUAAAAGCAAUGCUGAUAUGAGUAAUGGGGAAUAUGUAAACAGGAUGAAAGAUCUAAUGGGAAAGUGGGUGAGGGAGAAAGGUGUUGAAAGUUUUGAACAAAUGUUUGAUCUUGUUGCUCAGUAUAUAAAGAUGAUGUAAAACAAUGUCUAUGGAAUAAAAAUGUAAAAACUGUA